rnacentral:sRNA from 1 species
AAGAGCUGAAGAGACCUGGAGCCGACAGACGAGGAAGAAUUCUCCUGCUUGUGGCAGGAAUGUGGCUUUUGUUCUCUGGACAGUUCUGCUGACCUCAUCCGCCAUGUCUACUUCCACUGCUACCACACCAAGCUGAAACAGUGGGGGCUGCAGGCCUUGCAAAGCCAGGCUGACCUUGGCCCCUGCAUCCUGGACUUCCAGAGCCGGAACGUCAUCCCUGAUAUCCCUGACCACUUCCUGUGUCUGUGGGAGCACUGUGAGGCUCUUGAUCUGAAGCCCAGGCUAGAGUGCAGUGGUACAAUCAUAGCUCACUGUAACCUUGAACUCCUGGGCUCAAGCAAUCCUCCCACCUCAGCCUCCCAAGUAGCUAGGACUACAGGCAUGUACCACCAUGCCCUGCUAACUUCUAAAUUUUUUGUAGAGACAAGGUCUGGGUAUGUUGCCCAGGCUGGUCUCGAACUCUUGGCCUCAAGUGAUUCUCCUGCCUCAGCCUCUCAAAGUGCUGGGAUUACAGGGUUUAGCAACCGCACCCGGCCACUCCUCCAUUUCUGUGCAGUGCCUUUCCUCAAAAUUUCCCAUCCCCAUCAAGUUAAUUUGGGAGAGAGCCAAGAAUUCUUUGGGCACAUAGGGGUGAGUCCCUCUACCCACCCUCAGUCCUCACCCCAAGUUGCCCCUGGCACAGAAUUCCUUCGACAAUCCUGAGUGGUUUUAUCGGCAUGUGGAAGCACACAGUCUGUGCUGUGAAUAC